ACUCCUUCAAGUAUUGAUAGUAC
rnacentral:siRNA from 1 species